AAACCCCCCUUUUUUUUACACUCAAUUAAGUAUUUAAACUUUAAAAUGUAUCAAAAAGUUCUUCAAAUUUUUUCAAAAAAAAUAAUUAAGCCCCUUUUUUUUUGCUCUUAAUUACUACCAAAAUGUAUCAAAAAUGUCAUUUAACCGUUAACUUUAAUAGUUGAAUAAUUAAAGUUAACUACCCUUAAUUUUUUUUAGUUAAAGCCACCAUAUGUCACAACCUAAAAAUUAUUAAAUUUUAAUAAAAAUGUAAACAGACCAAUUUGCCCGGCCCAUUGGAAACCCAAAAUAAAGUAUAAAAUAAAUAAAUAAAUAAAUAACCCAAAGUCCAUUUAAUGUCCUUUUACAAACUAAUACCUAUUACAAGCCCAAACUAAUAUUAAACCCAAAUCAGAGCAAGCCCAAUAGGCCCAUUUCCCCAACAGUUUCAGAAACCCUAGGUCACCCCCCUUUUCUCCUGUGCCGCAACAGCAGCCUCCAUGUGCCUUCAGCCCCGUACGACUGCUACGCACGCCUCCGUACGCCUCACGCCAAGCGCCAGCACGACCCCCGUACACGCGCCUUGCACCGGUACCUGCAAAAAAAAAAACAAGAGACAACAGCAUAUACCCAAUGCGAAAGCAAAGAAAGAAUUUUGUAUUAUUAUUUAUUUAUUUUCUAUCAUUUUCGGCUAUAAAGCAAAAGCAUUUGAUCAUUGUAUUUUUUUGGACGCACAAUAGGCAAUACAAAAAGACAACCAAUAUCGGAAGGUGAUUUUCCGAUCUAAAUCUACGGGCUUUCUUUUUGUGAUUAUUCUCUUGUUUUGUUUUGUUUUUUUAUUUUAUUUUAUUUCAAAAGCAAAUAAAGUGAAGAGGAAAUGACCUUACCGUGCGAGCAAGCCAUGGAUUUCUUCUCCCUUCUUCGUCGAAAUCGGAGUUGAGGAGGGAUUUCGGGCUAAGAUUCCUUCAGGCUCGAAGAGUCCCACAUGGUGAAGAUGAAUCGGCAUUUAGCUGAGGGGAUUAGGGAUUUGAAAAUAAGCAGAAUGGGUGCUUGUUGAUUCGGUUGGCUUAGUCCAUAUAAGAGACUGGGAACGGCACCGUUUUGACCAAUUUUAAUGGUCUUGAUACGACGUGUGUGGUGGCUUUCACCCAAUAACCCGACCAACGCCUAGUUAAGACCCGCGUGUUAGGUCAGAGAGGGAUAUUUGCACCUUAAGUCCUUUUUUUCGACGUUGUGUUGCGAUUGAGUUCUGUCAGCCUUUUCCUUUGUUUUUAAUUUAUUCCUUUAAUUUACAAGCGAAGUCAAUUCAAUCCACGCUUAAACGCAGCACUUUGGGAUCUGGCAUAUUGCUAGUUUUAGUCCUUAUGCAUCAACGCGUUAGGCUUUAGUCCUUCCUCUAAUUUCAACAAUUUAUUGUAUUUAUUAAUUAUCCUUUUAGUUUUAUUUUUGCUUCAAUUGAGUUUCUUUUAUUUAUUCAUUACUUUCAGCAUGUUUUUAUUCUUUGAAACCCUUUUAUUUUUGAAAAUUUACUUAUUAUUCACCAUUUAAUAUAUUAUUUUGGAGUAUUUUAUUAAGUUUUGCAUGGUUUUAGUUUGUUAUUCAUACUUUCAUAUAUAUAUAUAUGUAAAUAUAUCUAUACAUGUAACUAUAUAUAUCUAUUUAUUUAUUUUCUUUUAAAUUUGUUUGUUUAAAAUGUUCUUUUAUAUACACAUAUAUAUAUACACCUUAUAAUAAGGUUAAUUCUUUUAUGCAUUUUAUUAAUUUUAUAUUAUUUUACAUAUAUAAUUCCUUUUAAAUUUAUUCUUAUAUAUUAUUACAUGAUCCUACAUAAUAUAUUUUUUAGGUUAUUAUUACGUAAGUACAUAUAUUUAUCGAUAUCUAUAUUUGAUAUAUAUAUUAUUAUUAAAUCUAUGUAUUUUAUACAUAUAGUUUUCUUGAUAUAUAUAUAUGUAAGCAUAUUCUUAAAUCCAUUAUAUAGUUUAUUAUAAAAUUAACUUAAUCUCGUAUGUAUUUCUAUGUUUUUUACAAAAGAUUAUUUUCAAAGUUAUUUAUGCAUAUAUUUUGUAAAUCUAUUUUGUGUAUUACGUCUCAUCAUGUAUUUUAUUAUCCUUUCAUAUUAUAUAUUAUUUAAAUUAUCACAUAUUUUGUAAACCCUUAAAUGAAUUUGUGUUCAAAAUAUUUUACAUGCAAUUUGAUUCAAACUUUUAUUCUAUAAUAUUUAUUUCAAUAAUUAUAUAUUUUUAGCUUCUACGCAAUUUUGUCAACUUAUAUAUUAUGUGUUUUAAAAAUAUUCAUUCUAUAAUAUAUAUUUUAAUGAUUGCAUGUGUAUAUUAAGCUUGUCUUUACAAAUAUUUUUUUAUUCAUCAAUCCCUCAAUUCAUAUAGUGUGUAUCGUGUACUUAUCAUUAUUUUAAAAUAGUUUUAUACCAUAUUGCUUCUUCGAUUUGCAUUUUAUUUUUGUGCAUCUAGUAGUAAUCAUUUUAUAUUAUGCCAUGUAUGUUGUCGUUGCAUGUUAUGUAUUCAUUGUUUUAUAUUGUCAUGUUAAUUAUUCUCCAUGCAUGAUCGAAAUUGAGUUAUAUUUCCAAGUUAGUUAUACUUAAUUGUUUAAGUGCUUGUUAGUUGAUUAAAUAAAUUGUAUUACCUCCACUCUUCCAUUGUCGUAUUUUUUGCGUACAUAUAUUACCCCAUAUCAUCGUUUUCCACUUGGUUUUUGAAAUGUGGUUUUAUAAAAUCUAAAUUUUUAUGAUUAAUUUCGUCUUAUUUCAAAUCGAAUUAAUGCGUUUUAAGCUAGUUUCACAAUUAUUUAAGAAUUCUUUAAAACGAAGGUGAUAUUCGAUAUUUGGCAAUUCGUGGAAUCGUGCCCUAAAGUGUUGGGUUGCAAUUUCUCGUUUGCUCAAAAUAGUCGAAGGUCCCUUUAGAAUUUUAGCCAUGUCUUUUAAAAAUUCUUUAAACGAAGGCGAUGUUCAAUAUUUGGCAAUUCGCGGAAUCGUGCCCUAUCGUGCUGGGUUGCAAUUUCUCGUUUGUUCAAAAUAAUUAAAGGUCCCUUUUGAAUUUCACUUAUGUUUUCUAAAAACUCUUCAAAACGAAGGUAAUAUUCGAUGUUUGGCAAUUCAGGGAAUCGUGCUGGGUUGCGAUUUCCUGUUUGUCCAAAAUGAUCGAAGAUUCCUUUAGAAUUUCACUCAUACUCUCUAAAUUCUAGAAUAAGGCAAUGUCUAACAUCUAGAAAUUCGAGGAGUUGUGCCCUACUGUGCUGGGUUUCGAUUUUCUCGUUGGAUUAAAUAAUUGGGCAUCCUUUUGCGGUUUUCAACGUAUAAAUUUUUGGAAGUCAAAAUUUGUCAUGUUUUCGAGGGCAUAAAGGAUCAUGUCCUAUCGUGCUGGAUGUGGUGCUAUAUUCCUCUUAAGCAAGAGAAUUUUGAUGACCAACUCGGGUUAUUCAAAUAUUAUCAAAAAGGGAACCACAUUUCAAAAAAAAAUUCAAAUCUUAGACAUAAGGACAGUAUUUAAUCGAUUUAGUACCAAUUUUGGGCGUAGUGAGGGUGCUAAUCCUUCCUCAUGCGUAACCGACUCCCGAACCUAUUUUCCUCAAAAGUUCGUAGACUAAAAUCGUUGUUUUAGUAAACCAGAAUGUUUUAUUAAAAUAACCAAAUCAUUAGGUGAUUCGAUCACACCAAAACAGAAAGAUCGGUGGCGACUCCAUUUCCGUAUUUCAAAAAGUAGAUUCCCUAUUUUUUAUUAAAUUAAAAUUUUUUAAAAGAUGGUUUCGAUAGCUUGGCGACUCCGCUGGGGAUACCAAUCAAGAGAGUCUAGCCAUGAAAUCGAUUAUUUGUUGUCCUUUUGUCGAAAUAUUGAAAAUUUGUUUUCAAAAUCAUAAUUGCAUUUUUUGUAUGAUUGCCAUGGUGCGGAUCUUGUAGAAUAAUGCUGCAUUUUAUUGCAUAACCGCUAUGGUCACACCUUCUAAGUGGAGGAAUGAAACUAUGCUUUCAUGAGGUUUUCACCUCCACAUGGGCUAGUGGAUUGCUUUCGGGGUACAUCCGUACCUAUGAUUUCGUGAGAUUUUCAUCUCUGCAUGGUCAUAGGGAAAUGUAUCCCCCUGAACCGAACUCGAUCUAUAUGAGCCUAUAAUGGGUGAGGAUUGAGGAAUCUGCUGGUUCGAAUAUCUUAUUGCUAGAACCGAACCACAUAUAGUGAACCUUAGGAGCUAUCCGUGGGUGGAGCCACGUCAAGCCUUAGUAUUUACCCGUAUAUGCGUUGUAAUUAUCGUUUAUGUGCUUGCAUUUUAUCACUAUUAUUUGAUACUAACCUGUGUUUUGUUUUGUUUGUUUUUUGUUGCAUGACAUUGCAUACUAAAGGAGGUGUUGAUUCAUAUUCAAUUACUAAGUUAGAAAGUUUGACAUGGAGAAUGAAUUUCUUAGUAAAGUUUAGGAUAAUGCGGCCGUUCGUGCAUGGUCAAAGAAGCUACAAUCAGAAAAAGGGGAUAGCCUGGCAGAAGAAUAUAUAUCAGAGUUGCAGAAAUUCACUCGUGUCAAUAUAGCACAGAAUGAACUGCAAGAGUUGAGAGAUAUUUGGGCUAGUUGGGAUGAAGGGACCAAGCAGUUGUUUUAUCAAAGCUAUGGUGAUAUAUCCUACUUGCUAGACAUUGGAGUGGAUAAACAUCUGUUCUGAGUUAUGGUGCAGUUUUAGAAUUCUGCUUACAAGUGUUUCACUUUUGGAGAAGUGGAUUUAGUACCUACCAUGGAGCAAUACACUACUCUGCUCAGGUGUCCAAAAAUUCAGGUCAGAAAGACUUAUGCCUGGGUUUUUAGUGGUCAGACUUUCGUGAAGAAAAUGAUGAGCAUUUCAGGGAUGAGUGAACCUUGGGUCACUGCUCGAAUUCAACAAAAAGGAGAUAGUAAAUGUAUCCCUUGGGAGAACUUGCGAGAUUUGAUUUUAACGCAUCCAGAUGAAAGAAAAAGGGUUGAUAUCUUCCCCUUAAGCAUCUACUGCUUGGUAAUUUUUCCUAAGGCUUUGAGGCACAUGGACGAGGCAGUCAAUGACUUAUUCAAUCGUCUUGGGAAAUGAAUCACACAUGUACCGGCGAUAUUGGCUGAGACGUUCAGAUCCUUAAGCACGUAUCGGAAGACGGGCGAUGGGCGGUUUAUUGGAUGUGCACAACUGUUGAUGGUGUGGUUUCACUUUUGGAAGGUAGACAAGGUUUCUUAUCAGGUCUUUUCCGAAGGUUAUUCCCCGCUAAAAGAGGAGGCAGCCAUACAAAGGAGAGAGGAUAUCUCGGAGGAGAAGUGGAUGGAAAUUAUUCAAAACCUCAAGAAGGGGGAUAUCGAGUGGAAAGUGUAUUGGAUGGUUCCUGAUGAGAUCAUGUACCGAUGUGGUAACUUUGAUUGGGUGCCAUUGUUAGGAAUUUGGGGAGCUACCGAGUAUACUCCAUUGCUUACCUUGAGGCAAUAUAAAUCGAGGCAGUUUGUACCCACGACCUACAGACUUGCCCAGUGUGAAUUCUCUUUUAAAGGUGCCCACUAUAAGAAGAAAGUUCGGGAGCUAUCAGAUGCUUGGAAGCAAGCUCGUUGGAUGAAGAGGUUGGCCAUCGGUUCUAUGGUGACGCCCGAGUAUGAUGGAUGGUUUAAAAAGAGAGUUAAUGAUAACGUUCCUUGGCCAAGCUUGGAAAAUACUCGACCUAUGGUGGAACAAUUACAAGUAGCCCCAUCAGAUUUGGAAAUUAUAAAGCAAGACUUCGAGAAGAAGAGUUCAGAGCUUGGGAAAAAGAUCGAACAAUUGGAGGAAGAGAAGAUGCACUUAAGAUUAGACGCUGAUGUCCAGAGGUCAGAGGCUGAGAAGUAGAGAAAAGGGAAAACUAAGGCCGAAGAAGAUUUAGACAGCUUGAAGACUGACUAUAAGAAGUUACGCUUGUUUAUGAGGACUGCGGCGUUAGGUAAGACUUUCGAACAAUGGCGCCAUGAAAUUCGAGAAGAAAAGACCAAGACCGACCGAUGGGAAAGGAAAUUCCGAGAAGCUCAGGCACGAAAUGAAGAUUGAGAGAAGAGUCUGUCAGAAAACAGAAAUGAGCGAGGUAAAUUAAAGGCUAGAGUGGCAGAACUCGAAAAGUCCCUUCAUCAGUACCGAAACCGCAACACCGCAAUAGAAUUGAGGGCAAGUUUGAGCAAAAUAGAAGAAAUGAAAGGAAAAAUAGAAGAAUUAUAAGCGUCAUUGCAAAACUGUAAUAUGCGGAUUCAGUUUUUCGAGGCAAAUGAGGACCAUUGGAAAGAGCAGCUUCACCAUGCGCAAAACCAAGUCAAAAACAGGGAUUACCUUAUGGGGGAAGCCAUAACCCAGAUUCGAGAGGUAGCCGGCUACUUGCAAGCUUUAGCAGUACAGGCGAACACACUAAGCGUGAAGUACGAGUUGGAGUCGGAUCGCGGGCAGGAGCUGGCCUCGUUGCUUAGAAAAAUUAAGACUUUAAGCAUUAGAGCAAAGUUUUAUUUGUAACUCAACUUUAUGUAAAAGAAUUUUAUUUUCUAGUGAAGUUUUCUAAAGGGAAUUGAAUCAAAAUUGAUGUCUCCUUUGUAUUCAUGCAUUUGCAUUACAUCACAUCAUUAUGCAUUAAAGGUCAUAAAAGGUUUCUAAUUAAUUAAAAAUCAUUUCAGUAACAUGGAAACCAACAAAAACCAACCAACUAUGCACCCGUACGGUACAAGGAAAAAGUCAAUGGAUAAAAGACUUGCGAAAUUGGAGCAAAUGCAAAAGGACAUACAGCAACAAAUGCAAGAGCAGCUAGCCAAGAUUCAGCGAGGGAUGAAGGAGCAAAUGAUGGAAUCCCAAAAGGAAAGGAUGAGUCAGUUAUCCCAAUUGUUGAUGGGAAGAACGGAUAAGAGAAAGGGCCCCAUGGACAAUUUUGAAGAAGCUAAUGAAGAUCCUCAAUACCGCCCUGGCUUCACUCCGACACAUGUGCCAAUGAAGCCCGAGAUUAAUUUACACAAAACCAUCUAUUACGAUCAUGCCUCAGCAGAUUCAGGUCGGAGCUUUGAUACCGAUGAAUUUCCAAGCCGGUUCAGGCUCUAACCUUGUUAAUAACCCGAGUUAUUCCCUGUUCCCGAUUUGGACGAAGUUGCAGAAGAAGAAAAGGCGAGGGUAGAAUUGUAAAAAUAAUUGGAAGAACAUUGUAAAUGGUUAGAGGAUAAAUUCAGAGCUAUGGAAAGCACAGAUAAUCAUCAAGGGAUUGAUGUUAAGGAUUUGAGUUUGGUCCCAGACUUGGUCCUUCCCCCCAAAUUUAAAAUGCCUAAAUUUGAAAAAUACAAUGGAACGAGCUGCCCUAAAGCUCACAUCACGAUGUUUUGCAGGCGAAUGACAUUCACUGUUUUUAAGAUAGUCUGGUUGGGGCGGCAUCUAAGCGGUAUAACCAAUUGAGCUGAGCUAAAAUUAAUUUAUGGAAAGACUUGGCUCAGGCCUUUAUGAAACAAUAUAAUCAUGUGACGGACAUGACCCUCGACAGGAUCACUCUCUAGAAUAUAGAGAAGAAAUCAAAUGAAAGUUUCAGGCAGUAAGCACAAAGAUGGAGAGAAAUGGCCAUACAAGUUCACCCGCUGCUUCUAGAAAAGGAAACCACGAUGCUCUUUAUCAACACCUUGAAGGCCCAUUUUAUCACUCAUAUGUUGGGAAGCGCCACCAAGAGCUUCUCAGACAUAGUGAUGACGGGUGAAAUGAUUGAAAAUGCUGUGAUGAGUGGAAAGAUAGAAGCAGGAGAAAGUAACAGAAAGUCGGCCCCGAAGAAAAGAGACAACAAAAUGAACAACACGAGCACAUUCAGUAAGGGUCAGUCCAAGUCACUUACCGUAAAUCAACCAAAGACGGUGACCACCAAUUAGCACAGCACUGUGAGACAAGAAUCCAAAGCAAAGGAGAACAUAGAAAGGCCACAGUUUACCCCUAUACCUAUGACGUAUAGGGAGCUGUACCAGAACCUAUUCAACGCUCAUGUAGUGUCCCCUUUUUACCUGAAGCCACUGUAGCCCCCGUAUCCCAAGUGGUAUGACACAAACGCCCAGUGUGAAUACCACGCGGGAAUCACCGGGCACUCAAUCGAAAAUUGCACCGCUUUCAAGAAAAUAGUCAAAAGACUCAUUAAAAUGGGGAUUGUGAGGUUUGACGACCCAGCCGUACCCAAUGUAGCAGGAAACCCGCUCCCCAAUCAUACCGACCAAUGAGUGAAUAGGAUAAGCGAAGGCAAGAACAAGAAGAUCAAAAGUGAGGCUGCAGAAGUCAGGACCUCAUUGAGACGGGUGUGGAAGGAGAUGGUCAAAAGAGGAUUGAUCCCGUUGGAUUUGAGAAAAGAAUCCGAAGAAGAGAGGAACUACUGCGAGUUCCACAAAGAGGUGGGGCAUGAAAUCCAAGAGUGUGUGGAGUUCAAGGCCCUCGUGCAGAACAUGAUAAACAAUAAGGAAAUAGAGUUUUAUAAAGAAGCUAAAAACCCCGAAGUGGGAGAUAUAUGUGCAUCGGAGGGAGGAUCGACGACGUAGAAUCAAACAACUAACUAUCCCGUGGUCAUCAUAUCAUGACCCAGAAGUAAUGAAGCUAGAGUGCAAAUGCCACCGAGGGUUAUAAUCCAAAGACCUGCAGUCUUCCCCUACAAAGACAGUAAAAGGCUCCCAUGGAAUUAUGAUUGCAACUUGACGAUUUUGGGAAAGGAAAGCCUGGUUGACGCUUCAAAAGUGGACCAAGAUAGGGGCUCUUAUACAUGUAGCGGGAGACGUUACGAUACAGUAAAUGAGAAGGCACAACCCGUAAAGGGAAAAGCCCUAGUGGUCGAAGAGAUGAAAGAAAAAACGACCAAAUCUGAACUUUCUGUUAAUGAGCCAGUUAAAGAGUAGGAGGCUAAGGAGUUUUUGAAAUUCCUAAAACACAGCGAGUACAGUGUGGUGGAAUAGCUACGUAAACAACCAGCUCGUAUCUCGGUGCUGGCCUUACUCUUGAGUUCUGAAGUCCACCGCAGCUCGCUGAUGAAGGUUCUGAAUGAAACAUAUGUUGCUAAUGAUAUCUCCGUCAACAAGCUGGACCGCUUGGUUAGAAACAUAAGUGCUGACAACUAUAUCUUUUUCAAUGACGAUGGGAUACCACCCGGUGGCAUGGGGUCGACUAAAACUUUGCACAUCAUCACGCGUUGUAAAGGGUAUACGCUGCCAGGCAUACUGAUUGACAAUGGAUCGGCUUUGAACGUCCUACCAUUGACUACGCUAAACAGAUUACCUAUAGACAGCUCUCACAUGAAGGAGUGUCAGAACAUAGUGAAGGCAUUCGAUGGCACAGAGAGAAGGGUGAUGGGCAGAAUCGAGGUACCUCUUCAGAUCAGGCCAAACACAUAUGAGGUGGAUUUCCUAGUAAUAGAUAUCAAGACCUCAUACAAUUGCUUAUUGGGGAGGCCCUGGAUACAUUCAGCUGGGGCAGUGCCUUCAUUGUUGCAUCAAAAGUUGAAGCUGGUAUCAGAGGGACAAUUAAUAACGAUCAAUACUGAAGAGGAUAUCAUUGUAACUGUAAGCAAUAAUGCGCCCUAUUUGGAGACAGAUGACGAAGCAAUCGAAUGCUCAUUUUGGUCUCUAGAAUUCGUUAAUGUGAUGUUCAUCACCGACGGAAGCAAGAUUCUGAUGCCAAAAUUGUCCAAAACUACGAGGAUGAGUCUACAGUUGAUGGUUAGAAAAGGGGCCCUUCCCGGAAGAGGACUUGGGAGACAUCUCCAAGGAAGGGUUGAAACACCGGUAUGAAGGACAAGAGAGACCGCUUCGUCUUAGGAUUUAAGCCAGACACAAGACAAAGGAGAAAGGAGCUGGAAAAGAAGCAAGAGAGAAGGAGAGCACGAUUAACGGGGGAGGAAAUCAAAUAGAAGCCAAUGAUAUUCCCCCAUAUAUCGAAGACUUUUGUGUCCGGAGGAAUUAUUCAUCCUGAGAGAGGCACGUCAAGAAAAGAAGCCAUAGAAGAAAGGUUGGAAAGCUUAGACAUCAAUGCCAUAUACGACAAAGAGACUGGAAGAGAAAGUUUGUCGGGCAUUUGCCCCUACCUACCUGGAAGUGUUCUGGAUAACUAGACUGCAGAAGAGAUUCCUGUAGUUUUUAGAACUGAUUCAGAGUAAUGUCCAAAACACACUUAUUACUCUAGGCCUAGGAGUAAUAAAAAUCUUUAGUGAAAUAGGCUGAUGUUUAAAAACGUUAUUUCAAUGAAAUGCACGGUUAUUAUCAUUUUCGAACAAAUGUUCUCUCAUUCUUUCAAUUUCAUUCAUAAUCAUAUUAUACAAACGAUUACUUUUGGAUUCUUUUAUUCUUUAAACAUUCUUCUAAAUAUUCUUUCAUUCAUCAUUCAUAAUCAUACCAUACAGAUAAGUGUUCUUGAAUUCUUUUGAUUAUUUGUAUCUUCAUUCAUCCUCAUAAUAGGUCCCUAGAUAUCAAUGAUACGAGUGACACGUUAGUAGCUCAGAAUCUCCUUUUGAGCGAGAUGCGUGUAUGGAGGAUUCUCAGGAUUUCGAAGAUGACCAAUGCUGUAACCUAUAAUUUGUUGAGGAUGGUAGAACAAGACGAGAAAUAAAUCCUACCUCACAAAGAAUCAGUAAAAAUUAUGAGCUUGGGAGAAGGACAAGAGGUGAAGAUCGGAACUUGUAUCACCAUGGAGAUGAAGCGAGACCUUAUUGAAUUACUUCAAGAAUUCAAAGAUGUCUUCGCAUGGUCAUACCAAGACAUGCCCGGGUUGGACACUGAUAUCGUGGUGCACCGAUUUCCCAUAAAGGAAGAAUGUAAGCUAGUUCAGCAAAAACUCCGAAGAAUGAGGCCCAACGUCUUGCUAAAAAUAAAAGAAGAGGUUGGAAAGCAGUUCAACACUAGAGUCUUGAAAGUGGUAAAAUACUCAGAUUGGGUAGCCAACAUCGUCCCCGUCCCUAAGAAAGAUGGAAAAGUGUGAAUGUGUGUGGACUACAGAGAUUUGAACAAAGCCAGCCCAAAGGACAAUUUCCCACUGCCUCAUAUUGACACCCUAGUGGACAAUACGGCAGGACACUCACUGUUUUCAUUCAUGGACAGUUUCUCUGGAUAUAACCAGUUCAAGAUGCAUCCUAAAGAUAUGGAGAAGACCACAUUUGUAACCAUGUGGGGUACGUUUUGCUACAAGGUGAUGCCGUUUGGACUGAAGAAUGCGGGGGCAACAUAUCAAAAAGCCAGGGUAACCUUAUUUCAUGACAUGAUGCAUAAAGACAUCAAGGUUUAUGUCGAUGAUAUGAUCGCAAAGUCUCAAACAGAGAAGGAGCACAUACAAGUCCUGAGAAAAUUGUUCUUGAGGUUGAGAAAGUUUCAGCUAAAACUCAACCCAGCCAAAUGUACCUUCGGAGCCAAGUCCGGAAAGCUUCUUGGAUUCGUGGUCAGUGAGAAAGGGAUCGAGAUCGAUCCAGACAAAGUCAAAGCUAUACAAGACUAUCUCCGCCGCGUACUCAGAAAGAGGUUCGAGGCUUUCUAGGAAGAUUAAAUUACAUCGCUCGGUUCAUUUCACAACUGACCGAUAAAUGUGACCCUGUCUUUCGCCUCCUCAAGAAACACAACCCAGGUGAAUGGGAUGAAAAAUGCCAAAGGGCUUUCGACAAGGUCAAACAGUAUUAAUCCAACGCUCCGAUACUAAUGCCACCUAACCCUGAUAAGCCAUUGAUACUGUAUUUGGCAGUAUUUGAGAAUUCCAUGGGAUGCGUAUUGGGUCAGCAUGAUGAGUCAGGAAGGAAAGAAAAAGCUAUUCACUAUCUUAGUAAAAAGUUCACGGAAUGUGAGACAAGGUACCCGCAGAUAGAAAAGUUGUGUUGUGCCCUAAUUUUGACAACCCGAAGACUGAGGCAGUAUAUGUUAUAUCAUACUACUUGGCUCAUUUCAAAACUCGACCCUUUAAAGUACAUGAUGGAGUCGACAGCUUUGAAUGGAAGGAUGGCCCGAUGGCAAAUUUUGCUCUCCAAUUCGACAUAGUCUAUGUGAACCAAAAAGUAGUAAAAGGGAGUGCAAUAGCAGAUUUUCUGGCCAGUGGAGCUUUGGAAGACUACGAGCCUUUGAACUUCGAUUUCCUAAAUGAAGACUUGAUCUGUGUUGCGACCACCAAAGAGAGUGCUUUGGAAAAACUUCCCUUGAAACUAAACUUCGAUGGGGCAUCAAAUGCCGUGGGUAAUGGAAUCGGGGCAGUCUUGGUAUCCCCAAACGGAGAUCAUUAUCCAUUUACUAGUAAAUUGGAUUUUGAUUGUACGAAUAACAUGGUAGAAUACGAAGCGUGCAUCAUGGGUAUCCGUGUAGCCAUAGCACGCAAGAUUAAAAGUGCUAGAGGUGUAUGGAGAUUCUACGUUAGUGAUUUAUCAACUCAAGGGAGAAUGGGAGACCAGAGACCCCAAGUUAAUCGAUUAUCAGAAACUGGUCCUUGAAUUGAUUAAAGAUUUUGAUAACAUUACUUUCUGCUACCUUCCACGGGACGAAAAUCAGAUGGCCGAUGCUUUGGCCACCUUAGCUUCCAUGAUCAAGUUGAAUAAACAAGAAGAUGUCAAACCCAUCCGAAUGAGCAUUUAUGAAACUCCGGCCCACUGUUAUAAUAACGAUGAAGAUGAAGAAAAAGAUGACCACCCUUGGUCUCACGAUAUAUUGCAAUAUGUGAAGAAUCGUGAGUACCCGGACCAGGUAAGUGAGAAUGACAAAAGGACGCUGAGAAGAUUGGCCAUUGACUAUGUCUUAGAUGGGGAGAUCCUAUACAAAAGAAGAAAGGAUCAAGUGCUAUUAAGAUGUGUAGACGCUGUAGAGGCUAAGCAAAUCUUAGAAGAAGUCUACGAGGGCGUCUGUGGGACACACGCUAAUGGCUUUACAAUGGCUAGGCAAAUUAUGAGAUUCAGAUAUUAUUGGUCCACAAUGGAAGGAGACAGUGUCAAUUACGCCAAUAGAUGUCAUAAAUGCCAAAUCUAUGGAGACAAAAUUCACGUGCCUCCUUCACCGCUGUAUGUCAUAACUUCCCUGUGGCCUUUCUCUAUGUGGGGUAUGGAUAUGAUUGGACCAAUAUCGCCUAAAGUUUCCAACGGGCAUCGGUUCAUCUUUGUGGUUAUUGACUACUUCACCAAAUGGGUAGAAGCUGCUUCGUAUGCUAGUGUUACAAAGUCGGCAGUGAGCAGAUUUUUGAAAAAAGAGAUCAUAUGUCGAUAUGGAAUGCCAGAGAGGAUUAUAUCUAACAAUGCAUUAAACCUAAAUAACAGUACGAUAGCGGAAGUCUGCAGUCAAUUCAAGAUCAGACACCACAACUCGUCACCAUAUCGCCCGAAAAUGAGUGGGGCAGUGGAAGCAGGCAAUAAAAACAUUAAGAAGAUUGUGGGGAAGAUGACCGAGACCUAUAAAGAUUGGCAUGAGAAGUUACCAUUUGCCCUCUUUGCUUAUCGAACAUCAGUCAGAACCUCAACUGGGGCAACUCCUUUCUCUUUGGUCUACGGAAUGGAAGCGGUUUUGCCGAUCGAAGUCAAGAUCCCGUCCCUCUGAGUGUUGUCGGAACUAAAGUUGGAUGAAGCAGAGUGGAUCCAGUCUCGAUAUGACCAGUUGAAAUUAAUUGAGGAAAAGAGGCUAAGAGCUAUCCGUCAUGGUUAGAUGUACCAAAAACGAAUGAUGCGGGCAUAUGACAAAAAGGUUCACCUUAGAGAAUUCCACGAGGAAGACCUGUUUUUGAAAAAGAUCCUUCCCAUACAGAAGGAUUUUCAAGGAAAAUGGAUGCCUAAUUGGGAGGGGCCUUACGUGGUGAAGAAAGCUUUCUCCGGAGGAGCAUUGAUUCUAGCCGAGAUGGAUGGUAGAAACUUGCCCAAUCCUGUAAAUGCAGAUUUCAUCAAGAGGUAUUUUACCUAAAGAGGGAGAGGCCAAGGUGAAAACCCGCAAAGGGCACCUUGAGGCUCUAAAAAAAAGAGUGGAGAGGCCAAGGUGAAAACCUGCAAAAGGCAUUUUGAGACCAAAGGGGUUUUUGAGUUGAAAACCCGAAAAUGGGUAGCUCAAAUUUUGAAUAUGGGGUAUGUGGUAGUCUUGUCCUCCCAAAAUUAACAAGAGGGAAGAACAAUACAUCUUGGAGCAUCGACAAAAUAUGCGGGAUCUCCCGAACACACAUAGUUCGAAAGAGCCUUUGAGAAAUUAGAAUAGUGAAGCUCGUGCUGCGAUAUCUGGGGCACAUUUUUUCUCAUUUCAUUUUGUACCUUAGCAGAUCUGCUAUCCUAUUUAAUGUAUUCACUUCGAGCUUACUCAAUAAAAUUCCAUCUUGUCCAUUAUGAUAGUCUCUUUCAAGCAUUUUGUUGAAAUCACGAUUUUUGGACUUAUCAUAUUCAAACAAAAGAAGUUAUUCAUAUUACUCUGGAAGGUCUCUAAAUAGUACAAGGACCUGAAAUAGGGCCACUAGUCAGAACUAACCAGACUCAAGAGUAGGAAACAUUGGAAAAAGAAUAGUCCAAAUUGUGACUAUUUCUUCAAAUUCUUUGUCAAAGAUAAUGGCUAAGCAAGAAGACACGACAACACAUCAAUGAUAGAACCCGGAUGAACUAUGAGCAAUGAGACCUUAAACGUUAAAAAAGGAAUUACUCUCAUGACAUUUCUACAUUCAUAAUCAUUCAUUUAGUUAGGAGCACUUGACUCAUUUUAAUCAUGGCAUCCUAAUUAUUUUGCACAAGCAUAGAUACAGGAAACCAAUUCUACAUAUCAUGUCCUCAGAAGACGGUGUAGCAGCAUUGGUGAAUUCUACAGAUCUUGUCUCCCUGAAGUUGCAGUGGAGCAGAUCAAAGACGGUGAAUCUAGUCUUCAUGAGGUUGCAGUGAAACAGAUUCAAGCCACCAUCCUAUCUCCCUAAAGUUGUAGUGGAGUAGCCUGAAGAUUGCAGAUCUCGUCUCCAGUGGAGCAGAUCGAAGAAAACGAGCCUUAACCCCCUAAGUAGUAGGGCAACAGGCCGAAGAUUGCAAAAUCUUGUCUUCCUGAAGUUGCAAUGAAGUAGAUGUAAACCACCAUCCUAUCUCCCUAAAGUUGUAGUGGAAUAGGCUGAAGAUUCAGAUCUCGUCUCCAGUGGAGCAGAUCGAAGAAAACGAGUCUUAACCCCCUAAGUAGUAGGGCAACAGGCCGAAUAUUGCAAAAUCUUGUCUUCCUGAAGUUGCAGUGAAGCAGAUUUAAGCUACCAUCCUAUCUCCCUAAAGUUGUAGUAAAGUAGGCUGAAGAUUGCAGAUCUCGUCUCCAGUGGAGAAGAUCGAAGAAAACAAGCCUUAACCCUCUAAGUAGUAGGGCAACAAGCCGAAGAUUGUAAGAUCUUGCCUCUCUGAAGUUGCAGUGGAGCAUAUUGAAGCUACUUGAAGAAAAGAAGUACCAAGAAGUCAAGACUCAGCAAGUCCCGGCAAAAUUGGCCUAUUUAUAGUCUUUGCUAUAUUCUCGUUACACGACAAUGAGCAAAGAGGGGCAGCUGUAAACGGGCCAAUUUGCCCUGCCCAUUGGAAACCCAAAUAAAGUAUAAAAUAAAUAAAUAAAUAAAAAACCCACAGUCCAUUUAAUGUCCUUUUACAAACUAAUACCUAUUACAAGCCCAAACUAAUAUUAAAACCCAAAUCAGAGCAAGCCCAAUAAGCCCAUUUCCCUAACAGUUCAGAAACCCUAAGUCACCCCCAUUUUCCCUUGCGCUGCAACAGCAGCCUCCAUGCACUUUCAGCUCCGUACGACUGCCACGCAUGCCUUCGUACGCCUCACGCCAAGAUCCAGCACGACCCCUGUACACGCGCCUUGCACCCGUACCUGCAAAAAAAAAAAACAAACGAGCAACAGCAGCAUAUACCCAAUGCGAAAGCAAAGAAAGAAUUUUGUAUUUUUAUUUAUUUUUUUCUAUCAUUUUCGGCUAUAAAGCAAAAGCAUUCGAUCAUUGUAUUUUUUUGGAUGCACAAUAGGCAAUACAAAAAGAAAACCAAUAUCGGAAGGUGAUUUUCCGAUCUAAAUCUCCGGGCUUUCUUUUUGUGAUUAUUCUCUUGUUUUGUUUUUUUAUUUUAUUUUAUUUUAUUUCGAAAGCAAAUAAAGUGAAGAGGAAAGGACCUUACCGUACGAGCAAGCCAUGGAUUUCUUCUCCCUUCUUCGUCGAAAUCGAAGUUGAGGAGGGAUUUCGGGCUAAGAUUCCUUCAGGCUCGAAGAGUCCCACAUGGUGAAGAUGAAUCGGCAUUUAGCAGAGGGGAUUAGGGAUUUGAAAAUAAGCAGAAUGGGUGCUUGUUGAUUCGGUUGGCUUAGUCCAUAUAAAAGACUGGGAACGGCGCUGUUUUGACCGAUUUUAAUGGUCUUGAUACGACGUCGUGUGG
rnacentral:lncRNA from 1 species